UACGGAGGAUGCGAGCGUUAUCCGGAUUUAUUGGGUUUAAAGGGUGCGCAGGCGGCACGGCAAGCCGGCGGUCAAAUCGCGGGGCUCAACCCCGCCCAGCCGUCGGAACUGCCGGGCUAGAGUGGGCGAGAAGUGCGCGGAAUGCGUGGUGUAGCGGUGAAAUGCAUAGAUAUCACGCAGAACUCCGAUUGCGAAGGCAGCGCACCGGCGCCCUACUGACGCUUAGGCACGAAAGCGUGGGUAUCGAACAGG
rnacentral:rRNA from 1 species